UACGUAGGGUGCGAGCGUUGUCCGGAAUUACUGGGCGUAAAGAGCUCGUAGGUGGUUUGUCGCGUUGUCCGUGAAAAACUCACAGCUUAACUGUGGGCGUGCGGGCGAUACGGGCAGACUGGAGUACUGCAGGGGAGACUGGAAUUCCUGGUGUAGCGGUGGAAUGCGCAGAUAUCAGGAGGAACACCGGUGGCGAAGGCGGGUCUCUGGGCCGAUACUGACGCUGAGGAGCGAAAGCGUGGGGAGCGAACAGGA
rnacentral:rRNA from 1 species